rnacentral:rRNA from 1 species
UACAACAUAGCGUUAUGCACCAGAUCCCAUUAGAACUUCGCAGUUAAGCACACUCAAGAUAGAGUAGUACUGGGAUGGGUGACCGCCCGGGAAGUCCUAGUGUUUUAC